GCCUCGGUAGCGCAGUAGGCAGCGCGUCAGUCUCAUAAGCAAAGUAAACAUGCUGAGGAAUCUGAAGGUCGUGAGUUCGAACCUCACCUGGGGCA
rnacentral:tRNA from 1 species